rnacentral:rRNA from 1 species
UACGUAGGUGGCAAGCGUUGUCCGGAUUUAUUGGGCUUAAAGGGUGCGUAGGCGGUCAUGUAAGUCAGUGCUGAAAUAUCCCGGCUUAACCGGGAGGGUGGCAUUGAUACUGUAUGACUUGAGUAAAGUUGAGGUUGGCGGAAUUGACGGUGUAGCGGUGAAAUGCUUAGAUAUCGUCAAGAACACCUAUUGCGAAGGCAGCUAACUAAGCUUUAACUGACGCUGAGGCACGAAAGUGUGGGGAGCAAACAGG